rnacentral:rRNA from 1 species
CGGCGGCCACCGCUAUAGGAAUUCGAUUAAGACAUGCGAGUCGAGAGUCGUAAUGGACUCGGCGGACUGAUCAGUAACACGUGGAUAACGUGCCCUUAAGUGGAGGAUAAUCUCGGGAAACUGAGGAUAAUACUCCAUAGACUAUGGAAUUUGGAAUGAUCCAUAGUUGAAAGUUCCGGCGCUUUAGGAUCGGUCUGCGGCCUAUCAGGUCGUAGUGGGUGUAACGUACCUACUAGCCUAUGACGGGUAUGGGCCUUGAGAGAGGGAGCCCAGAGUUGGAUUCUGAGACACGAAUCCAGGCCCUACGGGGCGCAGCAGUCGCGAAAACUUCACCAUGGGGGCAACCCCGAUGAGGGAAUUCCUAGUGCUAGCACAAUUGUGUUAGCUUUUCUCUAGCAUAGAUAACUAGAGG